UACGGAGGAUCCGAGCGUUAUCCGGAUUUAUUGGGUUUAAAGGGAGCGUAGGUGGAUUGUUAAGUCAGUUGUGAAAGUUUGCGGCUCAACCGUAAAAUUGCAGUUGAAACUGGCAGUCUUGAGUACAGUAGAGGUGGGCGGAAUUCGUGGUGUAGCGGUGAAAUGCUUAGAUAUCACGAAGAACUCCGAUUGCGAAGGCAGCUCACUGGACUGUUGACUGACACUGAGGCUCGAGAGUGUGGGUAUCAAACAGG
rnacentral:rRNA from 1 species